UUUUCUGUAGUGUAGUGGUUAUCACGCUCAUCUCACAUGUGAAAGGUCCCUGGUUGAAACUGGGCGGAAACA
rnacentral:tRNA from 1 species